CGCGAAGUGUCAAAUUUGAUCAACAUGGCAGCAUAUUCGGCAUGUGAGACACAAUUAUGAUACUGACUUGCAAAACAAAUAUAUAGAUGACAUUUAUUUUAGCGUUGGCAAAUGGGAGUGCCGCUCAAAUUGGCUUAGGCUCCUCACUACGAGACUAUACAACGUAGCUAGCUUCAUAAACAUAUUUUGGGGAAUUCUGAAAUGUAUUGGAAUAAAUGACCAAGUUAUAAAAUUAGCUAGCCAGCUAAGUAUUGUAACUCUAGCUAUCUACCUGACAAAAUGCUAGCUAACUACGUUAGCUUGCUACAUUAAUAGCUUUAGGUUGGUGUUUUUUAAGCUCAACUUCAAGAUUUCCAUCAAGGACGUUGCAUCCGAUCAUCACUCUCCCUCGCUUGGGCAAAGGACAUUUAAGUCUCCUCCAGCUAAAGUAGGAGAGGCAGUAAAGGCUUCCAUCUGCUGGCUACAGACUCAUUGACGGGGCUUUCCUCUACCAGAAUGAGGUGGGAAAGGGCAUCCAGGCUAUGAUCCAGGAGGGUACUGUAAAGAGAGAGGAGCUGUUCGUCAUCAGCAAGAUUAGGGAUGAGCUCGUGGACAGCGAGGGAUUCACUGUUGCCGUGGAAACCAGAUUCCUGGAUACCUGGGAGCGCCUCUCGGGGCAUGGCAGAGCUUGUGGAUGCAGGGUUGGUAAAAGCCAUUGGAAUCUCCAAUUUCAACAGCCAUCCAACUGAAUCCAUUCUGAACACACCAGGCCUCAAGAACAAACCUGCCAACAACCAGGUGCUCUUUGCCCUCUCUCCCAGCCCAAAAUAGCACUUUGCAUUUGUGAUCUUUAGAGCAUAACAGGUAUUCAGAGUUAAUCACAGUGUCAUUGAGUACGUUUACAUGCGCAGCAAUAAUUCAAUAUUAAACUGAUUAUGGCAGUAUGCAGAUUAUGCAAAAGUCAUGUAAACACUGCUGCUUAUCUUAAUUGUCAGAAAGGUCAAAAUCAAAAGUAAGCAUACGGCGAUUAAAACACCUGGUUUUCUGAGCAAUCUUUCAAAUUACUAGGACAUGUAAACACCUUCAUCAGCGUUUCAGCUGUGUAUUUGAUCUACGCAUGUGCUAGCAACAACCCAAGCAAGCCUCACUCUUUAGCAGGAGUGAAG
ensembl:lncRNA